rnacentral:rRNA from 1 species
GACGAACGCUGGCGGCGUGCCUAAUACAUGCAAGUCGAGCGGAUCUUACCCUUCGGGGUAAGGUUAGCGGCGGACGGGUGAGUAACACGUAGGUAACCUGCCUGUAAGAUUGGGAUAACAUUCGGAAACGAAUGCUAAUACCGGAUACGCGAGUUGGUCGCAUGGCCGACUCGGGAAAGACGGAGCAAUCUGUCACUUACAGAUGGACCUGCGGCGCAUUAGCUAGUUGGUGAGGUAACGGCUCACCAAGGCGACGAUGCGUAGCCGACCUGAGAGGGUGAUCGGCCACACUGGGACUGAGACACGGCCCAGACUCCUACGGGAGGCAGCAGUAGGGAAUCUUCCGCAAUGGGCGAAAGCCUGACGGAGCAACGCCGCGUGAGUGAUGAAGGUUUUCGGAUCGUAAAGCUCUGUUGCCAGGGAAGAACGCCUUAGAGAGUAACUGCUCUAAGGGUGACGGUACCUGAGAAGAAAGCCCCGGCUAACUACGUGCCAGCCGCCGCAGUAACAC